rnacentral:lncRNA from 1 species
CAGGGCCAGCCCUGGCACAGUCAGCGAACAGGUGGCCUGCUCCUGGAUGGGAGGGAUGGGAGGUAACAGGGGAGCCCGUCUUUGUUACCUCUGAGCUUUCUCUGAAGCCCAUUCAGGCCUCAGACCACGUGGCUGAUGAGUAAGGAGGCCUUUCUUUUCCCUCCCCUAAAGCGACUGUUGGCAAAACAGCCCUCUUUGGGAACACGCCUGUUCCCGAAGAGCAGCCAUCUCUUGGGGAACUCCGGUGGCUGGCGGCUCCUCGCGGCCGGUGAAUAAGUGACUGUGAAGAGCUGGCACGGCAGGUCCCGUUUCCGCAUUCCAGACACCCACGGCGGCGGCCAGGGGUGGCCCCACCCUGGGGCGGCCCCGAGCUGGUGCAGGUGGCCCUCGCCCGGAGGAGACCCGGCGGAGCUCCCUUGCAGGCACCUGCCCCUGCGAUCGGACUGUGCUGGGGACGUCCUUCAGGCAUUGUCAACCUCGUUGUCGUCCUCGUUUCUCCGUCGUGAGGCUGGGUCGUGCUCCAUCGUUCAGGCGUCGUCAUCCUCGUCGUCGUCCUCGUUUCUCCGUCGUGAGGCUGGGUCGUGCUCCAUCGUUCAGGCAUCGUGGUCCUUGUCAUUGUCCUCAUUUCUCCGUCCUGAGGCUGGGUCGUGCUCCAUCGUUCAGGCGGCGUCGUCCUCGUUGUCGUCCUCGUUUCUCCGUCGUGAGGCUGGGUCGUGCUCCAUCGUUCAAGCGUCGUCAUCCUCGUCGUCGUCCUUGUUUCUCCGUCGUGAGGCUGGGUCGUGCUCCAUCGUUCAGGCAUCAUCGUCUUCGUCGUUGUCCUCAUUUCUCCAUCCUGAGGCUGGGUCGUGCUCCAUUGUUCAGGCUCAGACUUGGGAACGAGAGCCUGGAAUUUGGCCCCACUCUGCCACCCACCAGCUCUGCGACAUUGGCCACGUGUGUAACUUCCCGGGAGUUUUGGUUUCUUCGUCUGCAUGAUAGGGAGAUUAACAAGCUGAUGGGCUCGUUUGUUGGACGUGUGUGCUCUCUGAGGUUGGGGGGAUUGUGGAAACUCAGGGGAUCCGGGUGUCUGAGCUCAGGGCAGCCCUGGCCCCCGAUCGCCCCCAUGAGUGGAGCUGGUGGUGAGAGUGACGUUAGGAUCCACCACCCAUCCUUCACAAAGGCCUGGCCAGGCCCUCUGUGAGCACAGGUUCACCCUCUGUGCAAGCAAGACCCAGGUGCCCCCCGCCGUUCCCAGGCCCCUGGGGUGCGGGUCCAGGCGGGAGUGCAGAAACACGCACCUCCAUCAGGCGGCUUCUCGGGGGGAAGACAGGCCUGGGAGACGGCGUCUCAGGGCAUGUCGGGUUUGUGUCUGGUCAUAGCCAUUCCCCGGACGGUGACUCUGGAACCUGGCUGGGAAUUGGCACCACCUGGCCAAUCUGGU